GACAGAGGCCUCAAGCGUUAGGCGGGAUCACUGGGCUUAAAGCGUGUGUAGGCGGAUCGUUAAGUGUCUUGUGAAAUCCCACGGCUCACCCGUGGAACUGCUGGGCAUACUGGCGAUCUUGGGCCAACUAGGGGCAACUGGAACAAGCGGUGGAGCGGUGAAAUGCGUAGAUAUCGCUUGGAACGCCGAAGGUGAAAACAGGUUGCUGGGGUUGUGCCGACGCUGAGACACGAAAGCCAGGGGAGCAAACGGG
rnacentral:rRNA from 1 species